rnacentral:tRNA from 1 species
UCUCUGGUGGUCCAGUGGCUAAGACUCUGCAAUUGCCAUGCAGGGGGCCUGGGUUUGAUCCCUGUCAGGGAA